UAAGGAAUAUUGGACAAUGCCCGCAAGGGUGAUCCAGCCAUGCCGCGUGCAGGAAGACGGCCCUAUGGGUUGUAAACUGCUUUUACACCGGAGAAAACCCCAGUACGUGUACUGGGCUGAUAGUAUGGUGAGAAUAAGCAUCGGCUAACUUCGUGCCAGCAGCCGCGGUAAGACGAAGGAUGCAAGCGUUAUCCGGAUUCAUUGGGUUUAAAGGGAGCGUAGGUGGCCUUAUAAGUCAGUGGUGAAAUCUCUCGGCUUAACCGAGAAAUUGCCAUUGAUACUGUAGGGCUUGAGUAUAGUUGCCGUUGGCGGAAUAUGACAUGUAGUGGUGAAAUACAUAGAGAUGUCAUAGAACACCGAUUGCGAAGGCAGCUGACGAAACUAUAACUGACACUGAGGCUCGAAAGUGCGGGGAUCAAACAG
rnacentral:rRNA from 1 species